AGGCAGUACUAAGUCGUUUUUGUCCUAGUUGCCGUAAUGCCACGUGCAUCCACUUAUAUCCGUACAUUUGUAACAACCUGAACAUUACGAAACUUAUAUUUGAUUUAAAAAAGCGUAAUUAGACACUCAUAGACCUCCAUACAACAAAACAUUUAUCUCGCGGACAGAUUUUAACGAGAGUAAAGCCUCUCGCUUCGCCUCUUCCUUUGUAAGGAAACACAUUCUUUCGGUGUAGCGAACUUCAUUUUCUAUUUGUGAGUAUUUGAACGAGAAACAUAAACUUGUUCCUCUCAUGGUUAGUAUCUUUACAAUCAGUAUUUGGUGAGCGAUAUCUCGUCGUCAAAAGGAGUAAGGUAGCUUACAUUAUCUACUAUCUAGCUAAUAUCGUUUGCUAACGUAACCCAGGCGAAGAGAGUCCAUUUCUGACCCAGGAAGAAUGCAAAUGAAGAGGAAGACCUGGACAAUAACCAAUCAACAAGAUUAAGAUCAAACCUGGGAAAAAGCAACGCAAUAAAACCAAGAUGACAAGAAGUCAUCGAGACCCCAUCAAAACCGAUUGUGAAACACAGUCAGAUGAUGUUGACUCCAGUAGAGAAGAUUCAGACAUUGGCCAAGCCCACUCUCUCAGCAGUAAUGGGUUUACUUUCAACAUCAUCCAAAUCAAAGAGGAGGAAGUGCAUGAAACAAGUGAGGAACAUAACGGAAUCAGAUCAAAUUAUCACUUGGAUUCUAGAGCACUCCACCAGGAUUCUGGAACCAUCAAAACCAAGACUGAAACAGGUUCUGUUUACAUUAGCCAGGGAAUGGUGGAAAUUAAGACUGAGCAUGAUUCUGUGGUUAAGACUGAAACUCUAGUGUUCUCCCCCUCACACAGCUGCCCCCACUGCAGUUGCAUGUUCCACACACCACAGCAGCUACUUGUCCACACCUGCCAGGUCGUGAAUUCUGACAAUGUUGUGGAUGUUUUGUUGAAGACCCCAUUUCAUUCUUUGGAGUCCACAGAAAAGGUGCGAAUUAAAACAGAGGGUCGACCUCUGCCUGAAAUCAAGUACAUAAGGAAGGAUGACAAAGUGAGGAGGGCGUUCAAUAUCAACUGGUAUAAAAAGUAUCAAUGGCUAACAGGUAGUCUUUCAUCAAGCCGCUUGUAUUGCUGGCCUUGUCUGCUCUUUGGAACGUUUGAGCCUUGGGCUAAAGGGGGGUUCAGUGACCUGAAGAACAUUGACCGUUCAGCUAAACGGCAUGACGAAUGCCGGGAGCAUCUCAACUCCUACGCGAAACUCAAGCUUUUGGGACACCCGAGUCAUCAUGCCAAUCAUUCACUCAAUGAAGGCCUGCGUAUUCAAGCUGCGCAACACAACGAAAAGGUCCGAAGAAACAGGGAUGUUCUCAAACGCCUCAUUGACAGCAUUGCAUACUUAGGCAUGCAAGAGUUGGCUUUUAGGGGGCACGAUGAGACGGAAAGUUCCGCUAAUAAAGGCAACUACAGGGAAUUGGCAGAGGUAAUCGCGCGGUAUGAUGCUUUACUUGCUCAGCAUAUGGAAUCUUCAACUGUGUUCACUGGAAUGUCAAGAACAAUUCAGAACGACUUGAUAACUGCUAUCGCAUCAUCAAUUAAAAGUGAGAUUAAAAGCGAAGUUGAGGCUGCUCCAUUUUUCUCAUGGCAAAUGGAUGAAACUACAGACCAUUCACAGUUGUCUGUCAUUGUCAGGUAUGUGGAUGAUCGGGGGUGUGUCCAGGAGCGUUUCUUGGGCUACUUUGAUGUGUCAGCUGGGCGAGAUGCACAGUCUGUGUUUGAUCUAGUGAAUUCGGAGAUGUCAGAGUUUAACUUUGUGGAGAAACUCGUCGCUCAAACAUAUGAUGGCGCUGCUGUAAUGGCUUCUGAUUUAAAUGGUCUGCAAGCAAAAGUAAGAGCUGUAGCUCCGAGGGCCACCUUUGUGCAUUGCUAUGCACAUCCCCUCAACUCCGUAUUAAGCCAGAGCGUGAAGUCUAUGCCCAAGACCAAGGUUUUCUUUGCCACACUGGGUGGCUUUGCAACUUUUUUUUGUAAGUCCACCAAUCGAAUGCUGCUAGAAAAGUCCACUUGUGUAAGUUUGCCAAAAAACGCACCAACACAUUGGAAUUUCACAUCCAGAGUCGUUAACACAGUGGCAAAAAACUUUGAGCAUCUAUUGGACACAUUCACAGGUAUCACAGAGCAUCCUAACAUGGAUGAUGACACGAUUUUCGAUGCAAAUGGGUUCAAGACACAGCUGGAAGAUUUUCAUUUUAUUUUUUUACUUCUCACUUUUGAAUAUAUAUUUGCUUGCACAGAUGUGGUUUUUGACAGUGUGCAACAGAAUGCCAUGGAUGUAGAAUUUUGUAAGAGGAGGAUUGAGAAUCUUGUGCUCAAGAUAGAGGAGCACAAAUCUGAAGAAGAAUUUAGUGCUAUAUAUCAGAAGGCUUCGAACAUGACAGAUGAUCCAGAGUUGAUGCACAGAAGGAAGCGAAGGCAGGGCACGCAGGAUGUAAUGCAGAUGUACAAAUCACUGUAUGAUUCAAUCCAUGACAACAUCAAGACACAAAUAGCACAGAGGUUCCAAAGCCUGGACAGCAGGAGAUACAUGGAGUUGUUAGAUGAUAAGAAAUUUGAGUCAUUCCGGAGUGAAUUCCCUGCAAAUGCAAUGGAAAGCCUGUCCCAGAGCUAUGGAUGUUUUUUCAACAUGGAAAAACUGAAAAAUGAGCUGCAAGUGUUCUACUGUGGUGAGGAGCUUCAAGGGAACAGUCGAAAACUGUGUGACAGAAUCUUGCAUUUCAAGGGGUGUGGAUUGAAUGAAGUGAUGCCUGAGGUGUACCGGCUCAUGUGCCUAGUUGCAACUAUAGGGGCAACGUCAGCGGGCGUGGAGAGCAGAUUCUCUCGUCUGAAGAGGCUGAAAAGCUACACAAGGAACACCAUGGGACAAGAGCGACUCAGGAACCUGGCAAUCCUAUCCAUAGAAAGGAGAAUUCUUAAAUCACUACAGAAGAAUCCUCACUGGUAUGAGAGGGUCAUUGACCAAUUUGCCAACCAGACUAUGAGGAGAAUGGACUUUAUAUUCAAGUGAUUGAGACUGGAUGGUGGAAACUCCCUGAACUACUGCAAGGGAGUAUAAGGUCCCAUGAUGCCAGUGAUGUCUUAAGCAGAGUGUAGGUCCUGUUUGUAAGCAUGUGCACAUGUCCACAACCUCUCAUUCUUCCUCUGGAGACCUCAACCCUUCUCAUGCAUUGCAGUCCGCGUUGACUAAAGCUGUCAGUGUCAUCGAAAGAUGUCAAACAAACUGACCGCUGCUGCUAAAGAACAUUAAAACUUUGACUAUUUUGGUGAAUGCCGGUUUUCCUUUUUCAGUUUAUAUGCCUUUUGGACCCUGCACCCAAAGACUCAUUUGAACUGUUAAGUUGCACAUGGAUCUUGAUUUUGUGUUGUAUUUUGUAGUUAUUAUGGAUCCCCAUUAGCUACUCUUCCUGGAGUCCAGCAACAUUUAAGGCACUUAUAACAUUUUUGUAGUUGAUUUACAAGGGAAAAGUGAUGCACAGAUGGUUGUAUAUGCCCGACUUACUGCCUGGGGAUGACAAAAGUGACAAUGAUUGCUGUAAAUGAAGUAUGUGAAAGAG